GUAAAUCAAGAUUUUUUUGCGUUUUUUCAAAAAAAUCAAGAUUACCUCAAUUAAAAGGGAAUCUGGUUAAAAUCCAGAACUGUUCCCGCAACUGUAUGCUAUCAAGCUUCAUGUUAAACUUCAAGUCACUGUCUAUUUAAGGAUGGGAAGACCAACAUGAAGACGUAAGUCAGGAGACCUGCCAAUUUCGUAACCUUAAAA
rnacentral:ncRNA from 16 species